UAGAGUUUGAUCAUGGCUCAGAUUGAACGCUGGCGGCAUGCCUUACACAUGCAAGUCGAACGGUAACAGGUCGCAAGGUGCUGACGAGUGGCGAACGGGUGAGUAAUGCAUCGGAACGUGCCCGAUCGUGGGGGAUAACGGAGCGAAAGCUUUGCUAAUACCGCAUACGAUCUACGGAUGAAAGCAGGGGACCGCAAGGCCUUGCGCGGACGGAGCGGCCGAUGGCAGAUUAGGUAGUUGGUGGGAUAAAAGCUUACCAAGCCGACGAUCUGUAGCUGGUCUGAGAGGACGACCAGCCACACUGGGACUGAGACACGGCCCAGACUCCUACGGGAGGCAGCAGUGGGGAAUUUUGGACAAUGGGCGAAAGCCUGAUCCAGCCAUGCCGCGUGCAGGAUGAAGGCCUUCGGGUUGUAAACUGCUUUUGUGCGGAACGAAAAGACUCCUUCUAAUAAAGGGGGUCCAUGACGGUACCGUAAGAAUAAGCACCGGCUAACUACGUGCCAGCAGCCGCGGUAAU
rnacentral:rRNA from 1 species